rnacentral:rRNA from 1 species
CCUACGGGAGGCAGCAGUGAGGAAUAUUGGUCAAUGGGCGUAAGCCUGAACCAGCCAAGUCGCGUGAGGGAUGAAGGUUCUAUGGAUCGUAAACCUCUUUUAUAAGGGAAUAAAGUGUGGGACGUGUCCUGUUUUGUAUGUACCUUAUGAAUAAGGAUCGGCUAACUCCGUGCCAGCAGCCGCGGUAAUACGGAGGAUCCGAGCGUUAUCCGGAUUUAUUGGGUUUAAAGGGUGCGUAGGCGGCCUUUUAAGUCAGCGGUGAAAGUCUGUGGCUCAACCAUAGAAUUGCCGUUGAAACUGGGAGGCUUGAGUAUAGUUGAGGCAGGCGGAAUGCGUGGUGUAGCGGUGAAAUGCUUAGAUAUCACGCAGAACCCCGAUUGCGAAGGCAGCCUGCCAAGCCAUGACUGACGCUGAUGCACGAAAGCGUGGGGAUCAAACAGGAUUAGAUACCCGGGUAGUC